rnacentral:rRNA from 1 species
AUGAAGUUUUGGGUUUUCAUUGGACGAUUUGUGGUAGUAUAUUUCGAUGAUAUUUUGAUUUAUAGCAAGUCACUAGAGGACCACUUAGGCCAUUUGCGUGCUGUUUUUUCUGCUCUGCGUGAUGCACGUUUAUUUGGUAAUAUCGAGAAGUGCACUUUUUGCACGGAUCGAGUCGCUUUUCUUGGCUAUGUUGUGACAGCGCAGGGAAUUGAAGUUGAUAAAGCCAAGGUUGAAGCAAUCCAGAGUUGGCCGACCCCUAACUCGGUCACACAGGUACGAAGUUUUCUCAGACUUGCUGGGUUCUACCGGCGGUUCGUGAAGGAUUUUAGUACCAUCGCAGCGCCGCUCAACGAGCUCACAAAGAAAAAUGUGCCAUUUGUUUGGAGCGACGCACAAGAGGAAGCCUUCACUAUUCUUAAAGAUAAGCUUACACACGCCCCUUUGCUGCAAUUACUUGAUUUUAAUAAGAUGUUUGAAUUAGAAUGUGAUGCUAGCGGCAUUGGUUUAGGCGGUGUUUUAUUGCAAGAAGGAAAACCAGUAGCAUACAUUAGUGAAAAGCUCAGUGGGCCUAGUCUGAAUUAUUCAACAUAUGAUAAGAACUUUAUGCACUAG